rnacentral:rRNA from 1 species
AAGGGCACCACCAGGAGUGGAGCCUGCGGCUUAAUUUGACUCAACACGGGGAAACUCACCCGGCCCGGACACUGUGAGGAUUGACAGGUUGAAGCCCUUUCUUGAUUCAGUGGGUGGUGGUGCAUGGCCGUUCUUAGUUGGUGGAGCGAUUUGUCUGGUUUAUUCCGAUAACGAGCGAGACUCUAGCCUACUAAAUAGUGACCGGAUAGCUUGGUCCGGGUCACUUCUUAGAGGGACAAGCGGUGUUCAGCCGCAAUAAGUUGAGCAAUAACAGGUCUGUGAUGCCCUUAGAUGUCCGGGGCUGCACGCGCGCUACACUGGAGGAAUCAGCGUGCUUGACCCAUUGCCGAAAGGCAUUGGUAAACCCUUGAAAAUCCUCCGUGAUCGGGAUCGGGAAUUGCAAUUAUUUCCCUUGAACGAGGAAUUCCCAGUAAGCGCGAGUCAUAAGCUCGCGUUGAUUACGUCCCUGCCCUUUGUACACACCGCCCGUCGCUACUACCGAUUGAAUGUUUUAGUGAG